ensembl:snRNA U6 U6 spliceosomal RNA
GUUCUCACUUUGACAGCGCAUAUAUUAAAAUUAGAAUGAUACAGAGAUUAGCAUAGCCCUUGCAUCAGGAGGACAUACAAAUUCAUGGAGUGUCCAUUUAA